rfam:Gossypium arboreum cultivar AKA8401 contig_19531_1, whole genome shotgun sequence.
ACCCAUGAUGAGGACACCUUCUCAAAAAAUCUUAAAUCUCUCCUAUGCAUCAUAUAAUAUCUCCAAAUCAAUUUGAGCAAGAAGAGAUGUCAUUCCUCAACUU